GACUCCAUGGCCCAAUGGAUAAGGCGCUAGCCUACGGAGCUAGAGAUUCUGGGUUCGAUCCCCAGUGGAGUCG